GGGAAUCUACCCAGUUCUACGGAACAACUGAGGGAAACUUCAGCUAAUACCGUAUACGCCCUACGGGGGAAAGAUUUAUCGGAAUUGGAUGAGCCCGCGUAAGAUUAGCUAGUUGGUGAGGUAAUGACUCACCAAGGCGACGAUCUUUAGCUGGUCUGAGAGGAUGAUCAGCCACACUGGGACUGAGACACGGCCCAGACUCCUACGGGAGGCAGCAGUGGGGAAUAUUGGACAAUGGGCGCAAGCCUGAUCCAGCCAUGCCGCGUGAGUGAUGAAGGCCUUAGGGUUGUAAAGCUCUUUCAGUGGGGACGAUAAUGACGGUACCCACAGAAGAAGCCCCGGCUAACUUCGUGCCAGCAGCCGCGGUAAUACGAAGGGGGCUAGCGUUGUUCGGAUUUACUGGGCGUAAAGCGCACGUAGGCGGAUCGUUAAGUCGGGGGUGAAAUCCUGGAGCUCAACUCCAGAACUGCCUUCGAUACUGGCGAUCUUGAGUCCGGAAGAGGUGAGUGGAACUCCUAGU
rnacentral:rRNA from 1 species